ACUGAAGAGUCCAAACUGCAACCUGGAAACUCUCAGCUUAUCAGGCUGUUUGGUCUCAGAGGAAGGCUGUGCUUCUCUGGCCUCAGCUCUGACCUCCAACCCCUCCCAUCUGAAAGAGUUGGACCUGAGCUACAAUCAUCCAGGAGACUCAGGAGUGAAGCUGCUGUCGGCUGGACUGAAGGAUCCACACUGGAGACUGGAAGCUCUCAGGGUGGAGCCUGCUGGAGGCCCAUUCUUGACUCCAGGUCC